rnacentral:rRNA from 1 species
CGUAAGCAACCUGCCUAUUAGAGGGGAAUAACAGUGAGAAAUCAUUGCUAAUACCGCAUAUGCUGUGAGUAUCGCAUGGUACAAACAGGAAAGGAGCAAUCCGCUAAUAGAUGGGCUUGCGUCUGAUUAGAUAGUUGGUGGGGUAAUGGCCUACCAAGUCGACGAUCAGUAGCCGAACUGAGAGGUUGAACGGCCACAUUGGGACUGAGAUACGGCCCAGACUCCUACGGGAGGCAGCAG